ensembl:lncRNA
GCCCUCUCUGCCUGCUCCAGCCCAUUGAACAGCGUCAACUCGUCUCCCUUCACAGUAAUGACAGUGCCAUCGGUGGGAGUGUGAGGAUGCUCUCGGAUUAGAAAGGGAAAGUCUCUUUGUUGUUUUUUGUAAAUGGGGAUUUACUUCAGGGUUAUUUGAAUGCUGCUAUGGUUUGUAGGACUUGCAGAUUCUAAGUAUCUUUUAAUUGGAGAGCAUUGCUUGAGGCUCCACGGCAAAGGUAUUUGGGUUUCUUUGUUUUAAACAAGAUGAAUAAACAAAGAGGAACUGGGUGCUGAGGGCCUUCAAGCACCGACGUUCUUCAAAGUUUGUUGAAGAUUGCAACUGGCUGGGGCUUCCCUGAAUCUGUCUGUAAUGAGUUGGAAUACCUGGUAUAUGUUAUGAAGCCACAGUUGAUUUUCUUUCUGGAUGUUUCCAUUGUGGCACGCCAAUUUUCCAAAGCAGCUUCACAGUGCACCGUGGUAAUCCCAUUUUACAGAGCAGAACAAGUAAGGUGAUGUUUCUUGGGUAAGACAACCGAGAACAGGAUUACUGACUAUAAGUUUGUGAAUCUUCUCACGGGUGAUAUUUAUUCCUCUGAAACCUAGACAGACCUGAGUUGGAAUCACACCAGCUCCACUUUCACUCAUCCAUUCAUCCAACAAGUCUUUAUUGAGCGUUUUCCACAAGCCUGAUGCUACUAAAUGCUGAGAACACACAAAGAAGCCCAAGUCUCAGCUUUCAGGAAGCUCAUAUUCUAAUUGGGUUGACCACUACAGACAAGUCAAUAAAUAAGAGGAAAACUUCAAGUUAUGAUAAGGACAGUGGAGUAAAAUACCAGGGUUGUGGGAAUAAGACUAACUUGGUGAUGGCGAGGGUCACAACUUUUUUGAGGAAGUAACAAUUAAGUUGAGUGUCAAAGGAAAAGAAGAAACCAGCCGGUUGAGGACUGAAGAGAGAGCAUCACACACACACAAAGGCUCUCAGAUGAAAGAAACGCAGCUUGAACUGGUCAAAGCAGAAAGAAAAAUUACUGGCCAACGUAAUGAGAAAACAAGAGUGGAGCUGAGCUUCAGGCAUGGCGAGAGAUAACAGCGAAGCCCUCAGCCGUCCUCAGUGCCUCCCGGGCCUCCAAGAGGAAGAAUUGUAAUAACAAUUGUGAACUUCUUUGGCCUCCUCCAAAGGAAAGGGUGAGGUAGAAAGAAAUGGUCUCAAAGCUCGGGCUGUCUGGUUCCAGCCCACACUUCACAACCUCGCUGCUACGCCAUGAGUCAUCGCGAAGAGCAACAUCACUUCCCUCUGACUGUGGGCGUUGCCACUCUCCUGAGCCUUCCUUGGCCAGGAGCGCCUCUGUGGCCCGCUUCACUCCCCAUCAGGGAUUAGCUGAGCCAUCUCUGAGACUGCAUGAUGUGCUGGUCACUGAACAUUGGAUGUCCAACUGCUCUGUUGAAGAAUAGCAUCAACAAUGAUGUGAAUUUUCUCUUCCAUUGUCCCAUUCAGUCCUAGAUUUUUUCAUUUCCUUCUUGUUCAAGAUAAUGAGGUCCUAUCAUGCCAAGCACAUGGAAACAUUAAAAUUUUGUCAGUCUCUGUUAAUAAUGAAUAAAUAUGUAUCAAAG